rnacentral:tRNA from 1 species
UCCCUGGUAGCUCAGAGGUUAAAGCGUCUGCCUGCAAUGCGGGAGACCUGGGUUCUAUCCCUAGGUUGGGAA